UACGUAGGGUGCAAGCGUUGUCCGGAAUUAUUGGGCGUAAAGAGCUCGUAGGCGGUCUGUCGCGUCUGCUGUGAAAACUCAGGGCUUAACCCUGAGCUUGCAGUGGGUACGGGCAGACUAGAGUGCGGUAGGGGAGACUGGAAUUCCUGGUGUAGCGGUGAAAUGCGCAGAUAUCAGGAGGAACACCGGUGGCGAAGGCGGGUCUCUGGGCCACUACUGACGCUGAGAAGCGAAAGCAUGGGGAGCGAACAGG
rnacentral:rRNA from 1 species